rnacentral:tRNA from 1 species
CAGAGGGUAUUUUAUGUAAAAUAUUAGUGUUGGGGAUUAAUGAAAUGGUUUAUUACCUUUCUCAUUG